rnacentral:rRNA from 3 species
GGACUACAGGGGUAUCUAAUCCCGUUCGCUCCCCUGGCUUUCGCGCCUCAGCGUCAGUUGAGGGCCAGCCGCGCGCUUUCGCCACCGGCGUUCCUUCCGAUAUCAACGCAUUUCACCGCUCCACCGGAAGUUCCCGCGGCCCCUACCUCACUCCAGACGAGCAGUCCCCGAGGCACUUUUCCGGUUAAGCCGAAAGAUUUCACCCCGGGCUUGCCCGCCCGCCUACGCGCCCUUUAAGCCCAGUGAUUCCGAACAACGUUCGCACGGUUCGUCUUACCGCGGCGGCUGGCAC